UACAGAGGAUGCAAGUGUUAUUCGGAAUUAUUGGGCGUAAAGCGUCUGUAGGUGGGCAAUUAAGUCUUUUGUCAAAUCUUUGGGCUUAACCUAAAGCGUGCAAAAGAAACUGCUUGUCUAGAGUCUGUUAGAGGUAAAGGGAAUUUCCAGUGGAGCGGUGAAAUGCGUAGAUAUUGGAAGGAACACCAAAGGCGAAAGCACUUUAACUGGGCCAGUACUGACACUGAGAGACGAAAGCUAGGGGAGCAAACAGG
rnacentral:rRNA from 1 species